CCUACGGGAGGCAGCAGUGAGGAAUAUUGGUCAAUGGGCGCGAGCCUGAACCAGUCAAGUAGCGUGAAGGAUGACUGCCCUACGGGUUGUAAACUUCUUUUAUAAAGGAGUAAAGUGAGGCACGUGUGCCUUUUUGUAUGUACUUUAUGAAUAAGGAUCGGCUAACUCCGUGCCAGCCGCCGCGGUAAUACGGAGGAUCCGAGCGUUAUCCGGAUUUAUUGGGUUUAAAGGGGGCGGAGAUGGGUUGUUAAGUCAGUUGUGAAAGUUUGCGGCUUAACCGUAAAAGUGCAUUUGAUACUGGCAGUCUUGAGUACAGGUGAGGUAGGCAGAAUUCGUGGUGUAGCGGUGAAAUGCUUAGAUAUCACGAAGAACUCCGAUUGCGAAGGCAGCUUACUAAACUGCCACUGACAUUGAUGCUCGAAAGUGUGGGUAUCAAACAGGAUUAGAUACCCUAGUAGUC
rnacentral:rRNA from 1 species